GGAAGGUUGGCGCGGGCGGCGUGUCGCUAAACCCGGUCAGGCCCGGAAGGGAGCAGCCGCAAGUGAUUAUACCGGGUCGUGUCCGGCCUUCCACC
rnacentral:SRP_RNA from 2 species